AGACCCCGGCACCUUUUUAGGGUGCCUCUCUAAAUUUUCACUUUAG
rnacentral:tRNA from 1 species